CCUACGGGCGGCAGCAGUGGGGAAUUUUGGACAAUGGGCGCAAGCCUGAUCCAGCCAUUCCGCGUGAGUGAAGAAGGCCUUCGGGUUGUAAAGCUCUUUCGCAAGGGAAGAAAACUUAUCCUCUAACAUAGGAUGAGGUUGACGGUACCUUGAUAAGAAGCACCGGCUAACUACGUGCCAGCAGCCGCGGUAAUACGGAGGGUGCGAGCGUUAAUCGGAAUUACUGGGCGUAUAGCGUAAGCCGGAUGUGAAAGCCCCGGGCUGAACUUGGGAACUGCGUUUGAAACUACAAGACUAGAGUAGGUCAGAGGGGGGUAGAAGUCCACGUGUAGCAGUGAAAUGCGUAGAGAUGUGGAGGAAUAUCAAUGGCGAAGGCAGCCCCCUGGGAUCAUAUUGACGCUCAUGCACGAAAGCGUGGGGAGCAAACAGGAUUAGAUACCCUUGUAGUC
rnacentral:rRNA from 1 species